AAAAAAGAAAAAAGAAAAAAAGAAAAGAAAAAACUAAUAGAUGAAAACAGAAAAAACAAACAAAAAACCGAAUAAUGACAAGAGAAGAAAGGUAAAGAGAAAAGAAGAAAAAAGCCAAGUGAAAAAGUAAAGAAUAACUCAAAGGAAGGAGUGGAUGGCAAGAAAUACAGAGAAAGCAAUGCAUAGCAGAGCAAAGGAAAGCAAGGCAAAAUAGCAGCCAAAGCCACGAGAAUCAAGAAGUCAGUGAAGAGCAGGAAAGGAAUGGAGGACUCUGGCCAGAGCUGUGCCCCUGCUUGCCACAGGAGCUGCGCGGGAGGAGAAGAAUGUGGGCCAAAAGGAAUGGAGGACUCUGGCCAGAGCUGUGCCCCUGCUUGCCACAGGAGCUGCGCGGGAGGAGAAGAAUGUGGGCCAAAAGCAGAGCAAAGGAAAGCAAGGCAAAAUAGCAGCCAGAGCCACGAGAAUCAAGAAGUCAGUGAAGAGCAGGAAAGGAAUGGAGGACUCUGGCCAGAGCUGUGCCCCUGCUUGCCACAGGAGCUGCGCGGGAGGAGAAGAAUGUGGGCCAAAAGGAAGGAGUGGAUGGCAAGAAAUACAGAGAAGCAAUGCAUAGCAGAGCAAAGGAAAGCAAGGCAAAAUAGCAG
ensembl:lncRNA